rnacentral:rRNA from 1 species
UCGGGAAUUUUGUGCAAUGGGCGAAAGCCUGACACAGCAACGCCGCGUGAAGGAUGAAGUCCCUCGGGAUGUAAACUUCGUAAGAAUAGGAAGAAUAAAUGACGGUACUAUUUGUAAGGUCCGGCUAACUACGUGCCAGCAGCCGCGGUAAUACGUAGGGACCAAGCGUUGUUCGGAUUUACUGGGCGUAAAGGGUGCGUAGGCGGCAUAUCAAGUCACUUGUGAAAUCUCCGGGCUUAACUCGGAACUGCCAAGUGAUACUGAUGUGCUAGAGUGCGGCAGAGGGAGCUGGAAUUCCUGGUGUAGCAGUGAAAUGCGUAGAGAUCAGGAGGAACACCCAUGGCGAAGGCAGCACUCUGGGCUGGUAUUGACGCUGAGGAGCGAAAGCAUGGGUAGCGAACAGGAUUAGAUACCCCCGUAGUCCCUGAGCGGGCUGGCAAGGCGCAU